rfam:Asian citrus Psyllid, Diaphorina citri - Florida Strain, whole genome shotgun sequence.
GCCUAGGAGGUAUAGUGGUCAAGACGCUCGCCUGGUAAACAGGAGGGCGUAGGUUCAAUCCUAACCAAGGUA